rnacentral:rRNA from 1 species
GAUGAACGCUGGCGGCGUGCUUAACACAUGCAAGUCGAACGAACCUUCGGGUUAGUGGCGGACGGGUGAGUAACGCGUGGGAAUCUGCCCUCAGGAGGGGGAUAACGGUUGGAAACGACCGCUAAUACCCCAUAUGCCGAGAGGUGAAAUGAAUUUCGCCUGAGGAUGAGCCCGCGUCUGAUUAGCUUGUUGGUGAGGUAAUGGCUCACCAAGGCAUCGAUCAGUAGCUGGUCUGAGAGGAUGAUCAGCCACACUGGGACUGAGACACGGCCCAGGCUCCUACGGGAGGCAGCAGUGGGGAAUUUUCCGCAAUGGGCGAAAGCCUGACGGAGCAACGCCGCGUGAGGGACGAAGGCCUCUGGGCUGUAAACCUCUUUUCUCAAGGAAGAAGAUAUGACGGUACUUGAGGAAUAAGCCACGGCUAAUUCCGUGCCAGCAGCCGCGGUAAUACGGGAGUGGCAAGCGUUAUCCGGAAUUACUGGGCGUAAAGCGUCCGCAGGCGGCCUUUCAAGUCUGCUGUUAAAACGUGGAGCUCAACUCCCUCAUGGCAGUGGAAACUGAUUGGCUUGAGUAUGGUAGGGGCAGAGGGAAUUCCCGGUGUAGCGGUGAAAUGCGUAGAUAUCGGGAAGAACACCAGUGGCGAAGGCGCUCUGCUGGGCCAUUACUGACGCUCAUGGACGAAAGCCAGGGGAGCGAAAGGGAUUAGAUACCCCUGUAGUCCUGGCCGUAAACGAUGAACACUAGGUGUCGGGGGAAUCGACCCCUUCGGUGUCGUAGCUAACGCGUUAAGUGUUCCGCCUGGGGAGUACGCACGCAAGUGUGAAACUCAAAGGAAUUGACGGGGGCCCGCACAAGCGGUGGAGUAUGUGGUUUAAUUCGAUGCAACGCGAAGAACCUUACCAGGGCUUGACAUCCUGCGAACCUUUAAGAAAUUAGAGGGUGCCUUCGGGAACGCAGUGACAGGUGGUGCAUGGCUGUCGUCAGCUCGUGUCGUGAGAUGUUGGGUUAAGUCCCGCAACGAGCGCAACCCACGUUUUUAGUUGCCAGCAUUUAGUUGGGCACUCUAGAAAGACCGCCGGUGAUAAACCGGAGGAAGGUGUGGAUGACGUCAAGUCAUCAUGCCCCUUACGUCCUGGGCUACGCACGUACUACAAUGCUACGGACAAAGGGCAGCAAACUCGCGAGAGCUAGCAAAUCCCAUAAACCGUGGCUCAGUUCAGAUCGUAGGCUGCAACUCGCCUACGUGAAGUAGGAAUCGCUAGUAAUCGCAGGUCAGCAUACUGCGGUGAAUACGUUCCCGGGCCUUGUACUCACCGCCCGUC